AUGCUCGCGCCCCCUUCCAGCGCGGCGGCGCAUGUCAUGCGACGUCAGCUCGUGCUGCUGGGUCAGCUCGGGGCCGUCCGAGCGCGCCUCGAAGCCCGACAGCAGCAGGCUCGCCCCCUCCCCCGCGCGGUACGGGCGCACCGUGAACUGGGCGCCGCAGCCGUCCUCAUCCUCGUCGUCGUCCUCGUACGCGGCGACGGCCCGCUGGCCGUGCAGGCUCCGCGCGCUGCUCAGGUCGAAUUCCCCGAACUCCAUGUCGCCGCCGGCUCCUCGGACGCGUCAUCGUCGACGAACACCACGCGGAGGCGGAACUCGACGCCGGCGAGCCCGCCGACCGCGCCGCACCUCGCCCCGACGCGCUCCGCCGCCCUCCUGGCCUCCGCCGCGACCUCCGGGCGCAGCGUCGGGUUGUCGAGCCUGGCCACGACCCACGAGGCCCGCGAACGCCCGGUCCGCGGCGCCCCGGCGUCCCAGGUCGCGGAGCGGCACGCGGCAGGACACGUCCUACAUCGUGUCCACGUCCACGGGGCCGCCGCCGUAGUCGCAGCAUUGCUCGACGAGCAGCCGGAACGUGACGUCGGGCUGUGA
rnacentral:rRNA from 1 species